UCUGAUGUAUCAAAGAAUGGGGCACAGUUCACCUCAUCAACAAGGAAUAUUUGAUUGCUGACAUUGUUUAGACUAAUGUCACAUGGAAUUUUUAAAAACCAGACCUAUUUUCAGUCUGCUUUAUUCUUGCUUUUUUUGUUUUUUUGUUUUGUUUUGUUGUUUUUGUAGUGCAGGCUAGCUUUGAACUCACCAUGUAGCCCAGACUGGCUUCAAACUCAUGAUGAUCUUCCUGCCUCAGCCUCCCAAGUGGUGGGAUUACAGGCAUGCACCACCACACCCAACUCUUGCUUUUAAAUUUUCUUGCAGAUAAUGCCCCUCUGGCUGCCUGUGCCCAGAGCUGAUGCUUCUCCUUGGCUUUCCAUCCCAUUACUUAGCACACUGGUGCUUCUAUAUGGAUCUGAAGUUAGGAAAUAGAAAUUCGAGUUACAUCAUGAAACAAGGAGGAACACAGAAGGAAACAAGCCAGGACAUAAAUCUUUGCUCUCCAUUUUACCAACACAGUUAUCUGGGACUAAUAACACUCUCUCUGAGCCUUGAUUUUCUCAUCACUAAGAUACUUCAAUUGUCUUUUUAUGAGGAUCAAAUAGUGUAACUUAAAGCACUUAGCACUUAGCAUAUACUCUUAGUCAAAAUUAAUUCUCUCCUGUAAGAAAGAAGUUUCCAGUUGCCUAGGAUUUUCUUUUUCCUUUUUUUUUGGUACCAGGGAUCGAACUCAGGUCCUUGUGCUUGCACAGCAGGCAAUGAAACCGCUGAGCUAAACCCCUGGCCCUAAAAGCACUUUGGUUUUUUUUUUUUAGUUUUUUUUUUUUGGUACCAGGGAUUGAACUCAGGUCCUUGCACUUGCGCAGCAGGCAGUGAAACCACUGAGCUAAAUCCCCGGCUGCCUAGGAUUUUUAACUGUAUUUGUGAUGUCUAGGGAGUUUCUGAUCUUGUCCAGCAUGCACUGCGCUCCCUGAGCUCUGAGGAUGUUUCCAGGUGCCAAGAGCAACGGUGCAGACGGGGGCCUGCAGGAGGCUCUGAUUUGGAAGUGAGCAGCUGAGGAAGUGAAGAUUCUGCCUGGAAACUGACUUGCUGAUAAGGUACCCACAACCUCCAAAAGCCCCUGGUUGGAGAUCAUGAGGCUUUGGGGAACAUUCCAGAUCUGAACUGCAGCCUCAUGCACUCAAAAGGGGUCUUUUGGUGGGGUGGUUGGAUCACGGUGGAAGUGGAUUCAUCCUCUGGUAAGUUUAGGCUGGGUGAGCUGUUAAAAAGCCCAGUCUGGUUGGAGGCGGUCAUGGGAGAGUGGCCUGGAAGGGACUGCCUUCCCUGGCUGCUCCUUUUAUCUCUGGUUCCUAAUUGCCAUGAUGUGAGCAGUUUUCCUCCGCUGGGGCCCUUCCACCUUGCCCUUCCUGUAUAGGAGCUGGCCAACUAUGGAUUGAAACCUCUACAAACCGUGAUCCUGAAUAAACCUCUCCUUCUUUAAAUUGGGGGUGUUGGGUAUUGUGUCUCAGCGAUGAAGACACUAAGAUACAUGAAGGAUAUUGUUUGCAUUAUUCUGCAUUUGUUCUUUUCAGUCAAUAGUAUAUGUUAGAAUUUUUUCCCUGUCAUUGCAUGUGAGGUCACUUGUUCCUUUUAUAGGUACUCUGUAUUCCAUUAUGUCACUAAACCCCCAAAAAGUAUUUUCAGCCAUUUGAAAAUACAAAUUACACUACAGUUGAAAUUAUUGUAUCAACACCCACAUGCACCUAAGUAUAAUUAUGUUUCACAUUGCAUACAUAAUUGUAAAACUCAG
ensembl:lncRNA